CCAUACACUCAAGCACCACUAAAAUUCGUGCACAUUCCUUUAAAACUUCUGAAGUCUGAGUAAAGAAAUCAAAUUGAAGAAAACACAUAAACCCAUAGAAAAUCACCUUAAAUCAAAUUAUGCUGAGGAAAUACAACUUAAUAGCCUAAAUAAAAGGAGGAUUUUCCAAAUUAGUCUAAGAAAUAAAAACAUUUGAAAACUAGUCUCCAAACAACUAAUUUUCCAAAAAUACCCUUAAUAGAG
rnacentral:lncRNA from 1 species